rnacentral:rRNA from 1 species
UACAGAGGGUGCAAGCGUUGCUCGGAUUUACUGGGCGUAAAGCGUACGCAGACGGCUUGGAAGGUCGGACGUGAAAGCCCCGGGCUCAACCCGGGAAAUGCGUCCGAAACCGCCUUGCUCGAGUAUGGGAGAGGGAAGCGGAAUUCCUGGUGUAGAGGUGAAAUUCGUAGAUAUCAGGAGGAACAUCGUGCGGCGAAGGAGCGGCUUCCUGGCC